AGUUUGAUCAUGGCUCAGGACGAACGCUGACGGUGUGCUUUAGGCAUGCAAGUCGAACGAGAAAGCCCUUCGGGGUGAGUAAAGUGGCGAACGGGUGAGUAACACGUGGGCAACCUGCCCCUCGCAGGGGGACAACCGGAGGAAACUCCGGCUAAUACCCCGUAAGCUCUACACGCCGCAUGGCGAGUAGAGGAAAGGUAGCUUCGGCCAUCCGGCGAGGGAUGGGCCCGCGGUGCAUUAGCUAGUUGGUGGGGUAACGGCCUACCAAGGCGACGAUGCGUAGCUGGUCUGAGAGGAUGAUCAGCCACACUGGGACUGAGACACGGCCCAGACUCCUACGGGAGGCAGCAGCCAGGAAUCUUGGGCAAUGGGCGAAAGCCUGACCCAGCAACACCGUGUGGGUGAUGAAGGCCUUCGGGUCGUAAAGCCCUGUUGAUAGGGACGAAGGGUGAAGGGUUAAUAGCCCGGAGCUUGACGGUACCUUUCGAGGAAGCCCCGGCUAACUACGUGCCAGCAGCCGCGGUAAUACGUAGGGGGCGAGCGUUGUCCGGAAUUAUUGGGCGUAAAGAGCGUGUAGGCGGUUCGGUAAGUCUGUCGUGAAAUCCUGGGGCUCAACCCUGGGCGUGCGAUGGAUACUGCCGGGCUAGAGGGUGGUAGAGGCGAGUGGAAUUCCCGGUGUAGCGGUGAAAUGCGCAGAUAUCGGGAGGAACACCAGUAGCGAAGGCGGCUCGCUGGGCCACACCUGACGCUGAGACGCGAAAGCGUGGGGAGCGAACAGGAUUAGAUACCCCCGUAGUCC
rnacentral:rRNA from 1 species